GCAGCGCAAGGGUGAGUAAUACAUGGCUAACAUACCCCAUAUAUGAGAAUAACUAUUAGAAAUGAUAGCUAAUGCUCAAUAGUUUCUUAAGGCCGCAUGGUCUAAAGAAUAAAGGUAGGGAUCCUUCGGGACCUUCUGGUUUGGGAGUGGGUCAUGGGCUAUCAGCUAGUUGGUGAGGUAAAGGCUCACCAAGGCUAAGACGGCUAGGCGAUCUGAGAGGAUGAUCGCCCACAUCGGGACUGAGACACUGCCCGGACUCCUACGGGAGGCUGCAGUCGAGAAUCUUCCGCAAUGGGCGCAAGCCUGACGGAGCGACGCCGCGUGAGGGACGAAGGCUUUAGGGUCGUAAACCUCUUUCGCUUGUUAAGAAAAGUGUAUGUUAAUAGCAUGCACCCUGACAAAGGCAAGUAAAGAAGCACCGGCUAAAUCCGUGCCAGCAGCCGCGGUAAUACGGAUGGUGCAAGCGUCACUCGGAAUCACUGGGCGUAAAGCGUUCGUAGGUGGUUUGUUAAGUUGGAUGUGUAAUCCCACGGCUCAACCGUGGAACUGCGUUCAAAACUGAUGAACUAGAGAGCAGUAGGGGACAAGGGAACUUCAGGUGGAGCGGUGAAAUGCGUACAUAUCUGAAGGAACACCGAUGGCGAAAGCACUUGUCUGGGCUGAUUCUGACACUGAGGAACGAAAGCUAGGGUAGCGAACGGGAUUAGAUACCCCGGUAGUCCUAGCCGUAAACGAUGGAUACUAGG
rnacentral:rRNA from 1 species